rnacentral:misc_RNA from 1 species
AUUUGGUGUUUGGGAUUUCAAUGCAAUUGGUAACUAGGUUGCACUUUUUCAAGGAUUGUUUUGAUGAUGCAAAUACAGCAAGAAACCUAAGAAAUUUGGUUGCUAUGAACAGUUCUGAUGGCCUUGGAGGACAAAAGAGGAGGGGGAGAGGAAAAAAAAUGCUAGUCAGCUAGUCUAUACCUGCAUAAUAAGCUUGAAUGAAAAAUUUGAUGAUAAUCUACUCUAAUUCUUGAAGCAUAAUGGGCAUAAAUAGACUUGAGUCAAGUUAUAUAGUUGGAUUUUACUGGUCUAUGGAAAGCAAAGUGGUCCCAUAGUGUCACUUUUUACUAUUUUUAGUUGUCAUUUUGGCAUGUUAGGCUAUCUCCUUGAACUUUGUUUUGAAUCAUUCUUGCUAAUUAAUUUGCAGUUUCUUAUCCCUUAAUUCUAUUUAACUUUCUUUGAUUGGACAUUACAUCUGGUAAGUAUACUUGCCUAUGAACACACAUGUCAAAUGCCUGCAAACAUGCAUGAUAUUUAUUAUUUUGUUUGAACGUUUUUUUUUUCUAUGCAAUUCCUUGAAUUGUGCUGCUGAAACACCUGUGUUAAAUGCAGUACAUGGGGAACCGUUGCUGG